AUAUAUGAAGUAGAAAAUAAGGAAUAUGGGGUUUGGGGUUUCGGGUUUCGGGUUUUGGAUUCUAGGGAUUUAAAUAUAACACUCGUUAAUUCUACGUAAGCUUAAAUCGUCGUAAAGUCCUCGUACUCCAACGAGUAAAUAACGACGAAGGACUCGUUAAUUCCACGUAGGACUAAAUCGUCGUAAAUACCACGUAGGAUGAAUUCGUCGUAAAAACCACGUAGGAUUUGGGGUUUGAGGUUUGGGGUUUCGGGUAUGGGGUUUGGGGGUUGGGGUUUCGGGUAUGGGGUUUCGGGUUUUGGAUUCUAGGGAUUUAAACAUAACACUCGUUAAUUCCACGUAAGCACAAAUCGUCGUAAAGUCCUCGUAGGCUGAAAUCGUCGUAAAUUCCACGUAAUCACAAUCGUCGUAAAGACCACGUAAACGGAUUUAUACAUAAACUCGUUAAUUCCACGUAACUGCAAAUCGUCAUAAAUAUCUCAUAGUGUACAAACUUGAAAAAAAAAGGAAAAGGAUAGAAAUACCAGAUUAACAUGUGACAAGACUUCCAGCAAUUAUAAUACGUAAGUCUCGCCCACAUGAAUUCU
rnacentral:lncRNA from 1 species